rnacentral:rRNA from 1 species
UACGUAGGGCGCAAGCGUUAUCCGGAAUUAUUGGGCGUAAAGAGCUCGUAGGCGGUUUGUCGCGUCUGCCGUGAAAGUCCGGGGCUCAACUCCGGAUCUGCGGUGGGUACGGGCAGACUAGAGUGAUGUAGGGGAGACUGGAAUUCCUGGUGUAGCGGUGAAACGCGCAGAUAUCAGGAAGAACACCCGUGGCUAAGGCGGCUCUCUAGUACGGUACUGACGCUGAGACGCGAAAGCGUGGGGAGCGAACAGG